UAGCGAGAUGUAGUUGUUCUACGUACCAAUGGAUUUGGUAUUUGUUCGCUAGUUAACGACUACAUUAUUUAUCACUUUCGACUGUUUUUUCUACUGGCACAUUCGUAAAAAAAACAGUUGACCAUGGGACGGACAAAUGUGACGAGAUAGUCAAGAAUAUACAGGGUCGCUUGUUAUAGAAUUCAUUCAGUCGAGUAGCACAUCUUGGCCCUGGUAGGUGUAUUUUAAUACUAGGCGAAAGAUUCAAAAGAAGAUUUCCAAACUUUGGUGAUAUCUGAAAAAAGUGAUAAUGGGCAAAGGCAAAGGUGGAGGGGGCGGAUCUGGUGGUAACCAGGGUGGCAAUCAAAAAGGUGGUGCAGCCAAACCAAAAGGUGGAAAUGACAAUAAAAGUGCUGCUGGAGGUAAGGGAGCAGACAAAGGAGGAAAAAAGGGUGGCAAUAAAAAAUAAGGAUGGAAGCAUUGGUAGCUUCAACCCUUUCCCUGGACAGCAUCCAUACCCGACGCCAUUUCGGAAAAGAUAAAUUGAACUGUGAAAUUCGUUACUACGUCCAUUAUUGUGAGAUAAGCCAAAUUAUUUUCAACUAUACAAGUAUUUAUUUUGUAUAUAAAUGUGUUUAAAUAAUUCGUGUAUUACUUCUAAGACUUAAUAAAUUAGUUGAACAAAUUUAUGAAAAAUAGAAUCAUCAUAUUUUUAAA